rfam:Pseudozyma antarctica T-34 DNA, contig: scaffold00007.
GCUCCGGUGGCCAAGUUGGAUUAAGGCAUGUGGCUUAUGUUUCUCAGGCGUCGUCCCCGCGUCGCGCCCUCGAGUUCAUGGGGUUUUAUCGCAGAAAGCAAUUUCUAUUAAACCGCGAGAUCGUGGGUUCGAGUCCCACUCGGAGCA